ACGGAAGGCAGCAGUGGGGAAUAUUGCACAAUGGGGGAAACCCUGAUGCAGCAACGCCGCGUGAAGGAAGACGGUCUUCGGAUUGUAAACUUUUGUUCUUAGUGAAGAUAAUGACGGUAGCUAAGGAGCAAGCCACGGCUGACUACGUGCCAGCAGCCGCGGUAAUACGUAGGUGGCAAGCGUUGUCCGGAAUUACUGGGUGUAAAGGGAGCGCAGGCGGGAAAUCAAGUUGGAUGUGAAAUGUCGGGGCUUAACCCCGGAACUGCAUCCAAAACUGGUUUUUUUGAGUGAAGUAGAGGUAGGCGGAAUUCCGAGUGUAGCGGUGAAAUGCGUAGAUAUUCGGAGGAACACCAGUGGCGAAGGCGGCCUACUGGGCUGUAACUGACGCUGAAGCUCGAAAGUGUGGGUAGCGAACAGGAUUAGAUACCCUGGUA
rnacentral:rRNA from 1 species